CAGAUAGUAGUUUAAUUAAAAUACCGACUUUGGGUGUCAACGAUCACCUAGUGUGCUAUCUGA
rnacentral:tRNA from 1 species